rfam:Ixodes scapularis strain Wikel colony gcontig_1108379632842, whole genome shotgun sequence.
CCCUGUUUAGCUCAGUUGGUAGAGCGCUCCACUGGAAAUAAAGAAGUCCCGGGAUCGAUACCCGUACCAGGCG